UAUAGGUGUGAGCCACCGUGUCUGGCCUGGGUUUUAUAUUCUUAAUCUUUCAAAAUACUUUUACUUCAGCUUUAAUAUCUAAAUGAAAUAGGAAUAAUAACAAGAACAGCUACCAUUUAUUAUUCCCCUUCUGUCUGCCUGUCACUUUAUAUUAACUCUAAUUCUUACAACGACCUGGUGAGGUAUUAUCCCCACUCACCGAUGGGAUAAUUAAAGUUCAUUAAGGCUGAGCAAUCUCCUAAGAGCCAAAGCUGUGGGAUGCUGGACCCUUCCACUCCUGUCUGAUUCAGGCUCCAGUCCUUUCUUCUUACUGCCUAGGAAGCUGAAAGACAGCAGAGAAGAACACUGCCCCGAAUCAAUAACUCCUUUUUUGCUAAAUCAAUAGUCACUCAACAUGAGACAUAAGUAAGGUUUACAUCCUGAAAUGUGUCUUCCUGGUUACAGAAAAUUGAGUCACAAAAAUCCUGGGACAAGCUGGGCUCUCAGAGGCCAUCUGGCCAAACUCCCUGCUCUGGAAAGUUCGUCAGCUGCCAGGACUGAGGGUAUCACAGUUCUCAGGACCAGUGAUCCCACCCACUAGAGGCAAAGCUUGGUUCCAGAGCCAGUUUGAUCUUAAACAUAAAUAGUGGAAAGAGGCAGACACCCCACACUGAAGACUGCCUCUGGGUGUGCAAGAGCUAGGAGGAGCCAUUGGGCAUGUGGCCCUUAGUCUUGCCACUCAACACCAGCACCAACCUUUACUAGCAUCACCUCCAAAUGCCACACACAGGCCAGGUGUGGACAUGCGCACAUCACUGGUAUGGAGGUUAAAUAAACAAGUUCUGCCCUGAGGUCACAUGCAACCCUCAGGCACUACAUGUGUAUGCAAAACCUCUAUAGCUUUUAAAAUCACCCAGUUAACCCAGACAAGGGGCAACCCUAGACAGACAACAACUACACACGCAACGAGAAAUGAGAAGAGGCUCAGCAGGGGGCGAGGGGACCACAGGCCCAGGAGAGGUGGCCGUCUCCUUGUCGAUCUCCACUCUCCCUGGCCUGGCCAGCAAGGCCCUUUACUGUGGAGCCCCAGACACCUCUGCAGCAAUACUUCUCGCCAGCUGCCUCUGUGCCCCAACGCUUCAGCCAGAAUGGACCCCUGGCCCCGCCCAACACCCACACAGGUUUUCCAACUUCCACGGCCUGCUCCCUCCUCCCCGUGGAAUAUCAUUUCCCCUGCUGGAAUCUUAGCCACCUGCUGGAGUCUUAGCCACCCUGCUGGAAUCUUAGCCACCUGCUGGACUGGUAAACCCCCUAUAGGCAAGUCAUCUCCUUUCAUCUAAACUCCCUCAUCUCUUAAUGGCCUAAGGUCACCUCACCAUGCCCUGUAUGAUUCUGUGUGUGCCUGUCCCAUUUCCCUUACUGCACAGUAAGCUCCGGAGGGAGGGGCCCUCUCUUUCCCAGUUCUGUAUCCCCCACGGGGUCUGGCACUGUCCCCACACACACCAUGAGUUUAUUACCAUUAUGAGUCAGUGAGGCAGGGCCCAGGCACCCAGGCUCCGUGGCUUCCUGAGCUCCCUCAUCUACAGCCCAGGACUGAAGAGAGGAGGCUGAGCACCAGAGGAACCUGAACCCCCGAAUAUACACAGCCACAGAAAUGGCAGCAGUACCCCCCUGGUCAAAAAGUGACUUUUAUAGGAGCAAAGCCAGAUGAGUUUUUAAGCCAGCUUCAUAAUCCCGCUUAUGGUGGGUACACAGACCCAGGAAGGGAGCAGGGGACACAGUCAUUGCUACUGCUUCCUCUGCUUCACCCCCGCACCUGUCUAAGACCGAGGGAAAAGAGGAGGGGCUGAACCCAGCAAGCAACUGUUCCGCAGCAGGCCAAUCAGCCCUAGCCCAUGAACCAUGAGCACCAAGCAGGCGUAAACAGGAGCUACUACAGGCCUGGCGGCAGCACAAUGUCCAACCCUUGACCACAUGCUGGCUGUAAACACCUUAGGGAGCAAGAGCCACAAGCAUUUUUUCAAUCUCGGGAAGAUUAGAGAUGUUUGCUCAAGCACCUGUCAAACAGUAACCACCUUCAGCUUACCGGACAAUCGACUUUUACUUUUACCCUCCUCUGAGCCAGUAUCAGUGCCAAACGAAAAAUGUGCCAAGCACAGAACAAACACUGGGCUGGGGCCCAGGCUCUGAGCUUGAACUUUAACAUUUCUUUUCAUGUGGACUGUCCCCAGGACUUCUCAUCCAGCCCUGCGGACAGCAGGGACUUACCACCAGGUCCUCCAGUUCCCAGACGACACCACGUAUAUUGUGAUGAGGGCUGACGGGGAGGACCAAAAGUAGGCCACCAAGCACAGGUGACCUCAGGCACACCGCUUCUCCUCUUGGGGCCUACGUUUUCCCAUUUCCUCAUGUGUAAGUGACAUGACUGACAUGGACGAGGCCUACUUCCCAGAGAUUAGGAAAGGGCCAUGCAUCCCUGGAGCACAGAAGGUCAGCAAGGAGAGCACGCACAGGGCUGUUUUGAAAGCUGGGAUGUAACGGGGUCUAGAAAGAGUAAUGCUCAAAACAACACAGAUACUGAUCCUUCCGGAGACUCUAUGAAACAGUGAGAGGUGACAGGCAGACCAACCCUGCUGUCUUCACAAAGGCAGACAGCGGCGCUACAGCCUCUCUCUCUCUCAGGAAACACACCUCUGGGAAAUGGAAAACUCCAAUGGAUGGUGCACAGGUAGGGAGAGGAGAAAGGCCUUCCUCCAAAAGAAGAGUCUCCCAAGAGCCCUCCUGCCAGGACGACCCACCCAUCCACAGCGUGACAACUAGCAAGCUGGCAUCAAUGAAUGUUCAAAUCCUUUGGCAAUCAGGAAACAGGAUACCUGUGGUCAGAAGGUGCCCCACAUGACCGAACACUGGUGAGAUCCAAGAUGGCAGCUCACUUGACCUCUGAAGAACUUGUAACUUCAUUAUAAUCUAAUUUCCAUGCUAAAUGACUUUCCCACCAGCAUCAUGACAGUUGAUAAUCACCAUGACAAUGACUGGAAGAAACCAUAAAAGGACAAAAAAAAGGAAGGUAAUACUCUAGUUUUGAGAAGUUCUCUGUCCAUUCCCAAAAAGACAUGAAUAUUUAUCCCCUAGCUUUUAGUGCCUAACCCCUUCAUUAAAGAGGCCCUAUAUUUGUGACUUCCUGACUUUCACAAGCUGAGAAGUUAAUUCGUGAACCAAGCUCCUUAUUCUCAAUUCCGUGGCCAUCCAAUAAAGCCUGCACUACUUGACACUUGCUUUUGUUUUUCCAAACUGGCUUUGGGACACCAAAGAGGGAAAGACUCCAUUUUGUGGGGGACCAGCUUUGUAGGUAACAAGUUGAUAAUAGUGGAAGAUGAAUGAUGAGUCUACUGGGGUUCAUUAUAUUAUUACCUACAUAUGUUUGCAAUUCUCUAUAAUAAAAAGUAUUUUUAAACAAGGUGUCUGCAAAGAAAGCCCAGCCUGAAGAUAACACUAAUAAUGUGGGCAGGGUGAACAAGAAGAAAACAGUGAAUAACAGUCAUUACUAUUCUUGUUAACCUCACUACAAGGCAAGGUCAAGGACAGAUCUAACUGUAGCUAAUAAUACAGCCUUUCAAAUUUUGAAUAAAAUUCAAAAUUAUCAAGAAAACAUUUGAAACAGAUUUCAUUCAUGGGGUACCUCACUCUGAUUGUCUGUUAUGCCUGAAAGUAUUAGUUAAUGAUCAUAUACUGCCAUCUUAGU